rnacentral:misc_RNA from 1 species
UUGACUUAUUCAGUACAGAAGACUCAGAGAGGCCAUAAAGUAUCAAGAGUUAGGUGACCUCCGGCGGGCGCCCGCGGUGGGGCCCAGGGGCGCGCAGGGGCGCCGCCCGCCGAAGCAACGGUUUGGGUAACGUUCACGAUGGUUUAGGGAGUUUUGCAACUCUGUAAUGAUCCCUCCGCUGGUUCACCAACGGAGA